UUCGUGUGCCUGCCGACUUGCCGGAUCACUACCCUCUUAUUAUUCUGGGACCUGCAGAUUUACAAAUUAAGCUCUCUGAUUAAAAUUAUAGUUUUUACUUAAUUGCAUUUAUUUCCUGCUUUUCAGUUAGUGUUUGCUCAUAUGUGCUCUGGAUAGGUUUGCCAUGUGAAGCUGAAUGUAAACAGGAUGCUUCAGAAUCAAGAAUCUGACUGUAACAUUGGUGACACUGUCAUUUGAUGCUGUGGGGUGGAGCUUCAUGAAGCUUUAUGAUGUUAACAGAGUACAGAAAGAUCUCUGAAUAUUUUCAUUCACCAUGUUCACUCUUAUAUUCACGUGUCUUUGGCUUUCACUAGGUGACUCCAUGGCAGAUUCAGUAGAGCCACGUUUCACUCAUAAAGUUGUAGAUGAAGAUGAUGAUGUUACUCUGUCCUGCAGCUACAAAACAACCAUUCGUACAGGAAACUACCUGCACUGGUACAGGCAGUAUCCAAAAUCUACACCAGAGUUUCUUCUUUAUAUUUCUGAUGGUGGAGCGUUAAGUUCCAACAUUCCCACAAGAAUGACUCCUAAAGUUAAUGGAGAUAAUAAAGAAGUGGAUCUGCUCAUCUCCUCUGCUGCUGUAUCAGACUCUGCACUAUACUAUUGUGCUCUGAAGCCCACAGUGACAGGAAAUCCAACUGCACUGUUCAAAAACUUUGACACAGUUUUGAUAUAUGGGAAGCAGUUCUUUGAGACAUUUACAUGUCAAUUCUGGGGAAUUUUUGUCUUGAGUUUAUAUUUUUGAGACAUAUUAGGAUUAUUAUGAGACAGCUCAUUCAUUUAUUCAUCUUCAGUAACCACUUUUCCUGGUCAUCAAUCCAGUGCUUUUCCUGAGAACACUGGGAGUGCAGGAGGAAUGUGAGAAAACCAAAAAAGAGAGCAUGCAAAAUAUUGCACAGACAGUAACCUGAGCUCACUGGUACCUGAAAGUAGAAACUGGGCCAGAAAAUCCUAACAUUGACUACGUUUACAUGGACAGCAUUAAUCUAAUUAUUGCUCUUACUCUGCUUAAGAUAAUAAUGUGAUUAAGGUGUCUACAUGAGUCGCUUUUAGCGCCACGCCGUCGGACGUCCUUCCAGAAUUUCACGUAUCGAUAUACAGUUCGUCUUCAUUAUGGUACCGUAUACAGUUUUUUGUGUUUUUAUUUAAUUUUUUUUACGAACGCUUUAAGUGCAGUUAAUUAUUUGUCAUGCUAUACGUGCUAAUAGACAACUGCUUGAAGCCGUGGGUGUGUCCCAAAUCGCAUGGUUACCGUCUAUAUAGCAGCCGAGAUACAUGUAUUUUCUCCACUACAGGCCUAUAGUAGGAAAGUAUGCAAUCUGGGACGCGGCCGAACUCUCUUGUUCGCCGUCAAACGUAAAACUGCCGUGUGUAAUCGUGUCCUGUCGCAAAAUGCAGUGAAAACUCCCACACAACGUUCAUAAUGUGAUUAAGGUGUUUACAUGUCUGUAAUACUGGAUUGUUGUUGUCCAUGUAAAUGCAGCUAUUGUCUCAAAUCAAGUUGUAGAAACAUCUCAAGGAUGAUCAGUGGAAACAGGAUGCACCUGAGCUCAAUAUUGAGUGUCAUGGCAAAGGCUGUGAAUACUUAUGUAUAUGUGCUUUUUUCUUUUUAAUAAAUUUGCAAAGAUUUCA